rnacentral:misc_RNA from 1 species
AUCUUCUUGUUCAGAAAAAGGCUCUGUAUGAAGAUAAAGAGCAAUUAUCACAGCAAGAGUACAUAAAAGGAAUCAGUGCCUGGAAUUUCAACCUUGAGGAUUUGAAAAGUCAGGCUGCUCUUAUUCAGGAUUUUGAUGGCAUAUCAAAUGCAGAAGAUCCAGAUAUGGGCAUGAAGCAGAGGCACAGGCACAAUAAUGUUGAGCUUACAGCUGAGAGGCUGUCCCAUGAAAGGGCUAACCAUUCAAC